GCUCCUUGUCUGGAAAUGGGCAGCAGACUUAUGAAGCUUCAGGCGACAGUCAUCUGACUUCAAACAGGAAACGGUUUGGUGGAAGGACUUGCUGUGGAGGAAAGCUGGUCCCACGAAGCAGAGAGAAAACAGGAGCCAAGAAGGGAGAUGCACCCUUCCAGUUCAUGUGUCUAGAGACUCACUUCUGGCCAGAUUGUACCUCUUGAAAGUGAACAGCUUUGGUCUGCUGCAUACUCCUGCCAUGAUUGCUGCCUUGCCUCAGGCACUAAAUAAACAGGAACACUGGACCACGCAAUGAAAUCCCUAGCAUGGUUGCAGAGCUUUUGAAAUCGGCAUUUACAGGACCUUCUCAAUUGGCCUUUCCUACACAGUCCUCUGAAUGGGUUUCUGAAUGUUUCUUCUACAGUAAUGGUUGUGCUCUUCUCCAAAGGCCCCACAAUGCUCUGGGAAAGCAUUCUUAAGCAUUCUCUUCCAGUGCUACAAGAAUUGUGGGGAGCAGAAGAUAAUCAGAAGUAUGAGAAUGUUUUCUACAAUGGCGAGGCCCCCAAAGAGCGUCAAACAGGAAAAAUAGACAUAUCCUCUUCAUGUCUUCACCUAGACGUUGCUUGUGAAUUAGGCACAGAAGCAAGCAGAGGUAUCUAUCAUGGGCUGUGAUGAGCAGAUGUGUGCCUACUGAACAUCCAAUAGGGGUUUUUCCCAUUCCACUGAAUGAAUCUACUCAGAAAUAUUGGAGAGUCUAUGUUCAAAGAAAUGUAUAUAGCUGGCACAACUGUACUGCUGAUG